UAGGGAAGCCGUAGAGAAAUCGAGUCCGAAUAGGGCGAUCAGUCGCUGGGUGUAGACCCGAAACCAAGUGAUCUACUCAUGGCCAGGAUGAAGGUGCGGUAACACGCCCUGGAGGUCCGAACCCACUAAUGUUGAAAAAUUAGGGGAUGAGCUGUGGGUAGGGGUGAAAGGCUAAACAAACUUGGAAAUAGCUGGUUCUCUCCGAAAACUAUUUAGGUAGUGCCUCAAGUAUCACCAUCGGGGGUAGAGCACUGUUAUGGCUAGGGGGUCAUUGCGACUUACCAAACCAUUGCAAACUCCGAAUACCGAUGAGUGCGAGCUUGGGAGACAGACGUCGGGUGCUAACGUCCGGCGUCAAGAGGGAAACAACCCAGACCGCCAGCUAAGGUCCCAAAGAUUGGCUAAGUGGAAAACGAAGUGGGAAGGCUAAAACAGUCAGGAUGUUGGCUUAGAAGCAGCCAUCAUUUAAAGAAAGCGUAAUAGCUCACUGAUCGAGUCGUCCUGCGCGGAAGAUGUAACGGGGCUAAGCCAGUCACCGAAGCUGCGGAUAUUGUUCUGUGAUUUAUCACAGAUAGAUAUGGUAGGAGAGCGUUCUGUAAGCCUGCGAAGGUGUCUUGUAAAGGAUGCUGGAGGUAUCAGAAGUGCGAAUGCUGACAUGAGUAGCGAUAAUGGGGGUGAAAAGCCUCCACGCCGUAAGCCCAAGGUUUCCUGUUCAACGUUCAUCGGAGCAGGGUGAGUCGGCCCCUAAGGCGAGGCAGAGAUGCGUAGCUGAUGGGAAGCAGGUUAAUAUUCCUGCACCGUCGUAUGAUGCGAUGGGGGGACGGAUCGCGGAAGGUUGUCCAACUGUUGGAAUAGUUGGUUUUUGGCUCAUAGAAGGCGCUUAGGCAAAUCCGGGCGCAGGAUUCAAGGGGAUGGGACGAGUGAGCUUGCUCACGAAGCAAUCGGAAGUGGUUCCAAGAAAAGCCUCUAAGCUUCAGUCAUACGAGACCGUACCGCAAACCGACACAGGUGGGCGAGAUGAGUAUUCUAAGGCGCUUGAGAGAACUCGGGAGAAGGAA
rnacentral:rRNA from 2 species